GCACUACUGAGGAGUCCCAUACUAGGACGAGACGGUCGUCCAGUGU
rnacentral:hammerhead_ribozyme from 1 species